UACGUAGGGGGCAAGCGUUGUCCGGAUUUAUUGGGUGUAAAGGGCAUGUAGGUGGUUCUAUAAGUCAAAGGUGAAAUGGCCCGGCUCAACCAGGUCAUUGCCUUUGAAACUGCAGAACUUGAGUACGGAAGAGGAAAGCGGAAUUCCCAGUGUAGCGGUGAAAUGCGUAGAUAUUAGGAGGAACACCGGUGGCGAAGGCGGCUUUCUGGUCCGAAACUGACACUGAGAUGCGAAAGCCAGGGGAGCAAACGGG
rnacentral:rRNA from 1 species